rnacentral:rRNA from 1 species
UACGUAGGGUGCAAGCGUUGUCCGGAAUUAUUGGGCGUAAAGAGUUCGUAGGCGGUCUGUCGCGUCGGCUGUGAAAUCCCGAGGCUCAACCUCGGGUCUGCAGUCGAUACGGGCAAACUAGAGUAUUGCAGGGGAGACUGGAAUUCCUGGUGUAGCGGUGAAAUGCGCAGAUAUCAGGAGGAACACCGGUGGCGAAGGCGGGUCUCUGGGCAAUAACUGACGCUGAGGAGCGAAAGCGUGGGGAGCGAACAGG